GGCAGGAGAUGUUUAAAAGUAUGGAGAAGACUACGAUUGGCGAGGAGUGCCUACCAUCGACGCUGAAGUUGUGCAUUCUAUUGGAGGAAAGGCGCAUGCACGAUAUUAAUUUGUGAAUUUUUUUCAAUAAUAUUGGAACUAUGACCGAAUAACUAAUUUUCUUGUUUUUCAAAAUAUUCUAUGUUUAUCGGUGUGAUCGAUUCGACGGAGUUGCGUUCUCGUGGCGGCUCUUCGUCGCAGGUGGGUUGUGGUAGUAGCAGUCGUAGUCGGUGCUCUGUAUCUAACAUGGAGGAACUAUGAGGGAGCAGUAAGAAAAGUUUCAUGAAGAGCUGCGGCAACAACAAAUGGCAUUCCUCCAACAACAAUCGGAGUACAUGGCUACUUACAACGCACAGGCUCAACAAGCAAUGAACUCUUGAUUUCCAGAGCAGGCACAACAGCAACCAUUUGUUUUCCCUCAAUUUCAGUCGUCGAUGUCUCAGUGAGGAUUACAUGCUCCGCCACCUCCACCUCAGGGAUCCGGGGUCAUGGGCCAUAACACGCCACCACCGGUUAUACCAGCACCAGUAGGAGCUUAUGCAAUGGAGGGAGCUACUUCAGGAGAGAAUCCAGACCCGUUACACGACUUCGUCAACGAGUUUUUCGCUUCUGGAGGUAGUGUUCACAACUCCAACGACCCCAAUAUGUGAUGGUUUGAGUUUUGUGCCGAAUUGUGCGUUGUAAUAGACUAUUUGUGAACUUUAUGUUGUAUGGACUAUUUGUGAACUCUGAUGUUGUAAUGGACUCCAACUUUAUAUUGUGGACUAUUUGUGAAUU